GCACGCCGUAUGCGAUGAAAGUCGCUUGUAUGGUGUAGGCUCGAACCGAAAGCCAUAAAUAAGUGGUAUAAGACGAGAAU
rnacentral:misc_RNA from 1 species